GGAAAAGUCAACUGGAAAGUACUGAUUCUUGCUGAUUGAAAUGGCUUUAAGUCGGACUUGAAAACAGAAGUCCUUUCACGAGGACCGUGGGUUCGAAUCCUACCUCUUCCG
rnacentral:tRNA from 1 species